UUCUUAUUUUCCCUCUUUCUGAUUCUCUAGUAAGCACAUGUACCCUACAGCAAAUUUUUUUAAAAAAGAAAAAAUCCCUGUGAGUUACAGUGAGCCAGUCAACCAACCACAGGCCUGACACAUCCCAAAGAGGACAGGGGUUCCAGGGCUGGGGACAAAGGUUCUAAACCUCCACAUCAACUGAACUGUCAACUAUCAUCCCCCUUCCCCUCACUGCUACAUUCCCAGUGCCAAAGUCUCUGUCUGAUAAACCACAGGUGCCCUACAAAUUUUGUUAAAUGAAUAAAUUGCUAAAGGGAGAGACGCACUUCAUACCCCAAAUAUUGGGUUGUCGGAAAAGUCAUGCCACAUUUUUGCAUAGAAAAACAGAAAAGAUACAUCACGACUUUUCCGACAUCCCAAUAAAUAAGCACAGGCAAGAACCACGCCCAGGUAUGGUGAAAGGGGGUUCCGGGUGUCCAUUCUUACACUGGCUGAUCACUCUGAAUUCUGCUGGGUGAGCUUUAGACCUGGGAAGGUGGGACCCCGUCAUGGAGAUCUUUGGUCCACAGGCCUCUUAUCUAUAGGGAUACUUGGGGACGCUGCCAUCUCUUCCCCGCACACGUAACUAACUCCCAGAGUCCUCUCGGCUGCUUUCCUACUGAGUUGCCUGUCCCACACCCCAGCCUGUGGGCAUGCCAGGAAACAGUCACAACACAAAGUGACACAGGGAGGCCAGGAGGAAGUCCCAGGAUAGCCAGUAACCUCCCAAUACCAUGCUCCUUAUAAUUCUGCCCCAGCCACGUGGCACUGCCCCCAGGCCUCACCCAUCCUCAGCCACCUCAUUCUUGCUACCUUGGCCUCAGAAGCUGGAAGGAACCUUCCAGUUUACAAAGACAAAGACACUUCUGCCUUUCUUUUCUCCCUUCCCAGACUAGAUCUAAGAUCCUGUUCAACUUACCUCUUGCCUACACAUCCUUAGCUUUCAAGAACUUUCUGUCUUCUCCUUCUGUCUUCUCCCACACCCCCACCUACCUACUUAUCACCUUCCCCUCCCAUUUCUCAUGACUUUAAUGGACGCUUCCCAUCUUGAUCUUACACCCAAGUCUAGAACCUUUUCCCUCGGGCCCUGCUCCUCCCCCUCAUCCCAAAGCCACCUCGCUCGGGGGCUAAGGGGGACAGAGCUUGGACGCUAUGGGAGCAGGGAGGUAAGGACCCACAGGACAUGACAAUAGGGCCCAUAUCAUUUGUUAAAUCCUUACUUACAAGUGUCCCCACUGCUUGAAUGUGGGGGAAAAAUUGCAGUCGGUGACUGGGAUUUGGUCUCAGCAUGGCUUAGAAGUAUAAUACCAUUCUAAUAAAAGAAGCGACCAAGGCCAUAGAUACAGCCCCUGGAUACAAUGGAGUCUCUCCCCGUCAGUCUGCGUUGUUUACCCGAACCAUGUGAAUUUCUAUCAUCAGUGUUGUUCAUUAUCGCUG